rnacentral:rRNA from 1 species
UAAGGAAUAUUGGACAAUGGAGGCAACUCUGAUCCAGCCAUGCCGCGUGAAGGAAUAAGGCCCUAUGGGUUGUAAACUUCUUUUAGACGGGACAAAACCCCUUUACGUGUAAAGGGUUGAUGGUACUGUCAGAAUAAGCAUCGGCUAACUUCGUGCCAGCAGCCGCGGUAAUACGAAGGAUGCAAGCGUUAUCCGGAAUUAUUGGGUUUAAAGGGUGCGUAGGCGGACUAAUAAGUCAGUGGUGAAAGCCUGCAGCUUAACUGCAGAAUUGCCAUUGAUACUGUUAGUCUGGCGUACAGUUGAGGUAGGCGGAAUGUGUCAUGUAGCGGUGAAAUGCUUAGAUAUGACACAGAACACCGAUUGCGAAGGCAGCUUGCUAAGCUGUAACUGACGCUGAGGCACGAAAGCGUGGGGAGCAAACA